CUGACUGAAGCAGACAACAAGUAUUCUAACAUUGGAAUGACAGAGAUUAGCAUAGCUCCUGUGCAAGAAUAACAUGCAAACUCAUGAAGAGUUCCAUAUUUUU
ensembl:snRNA U6 U6 spliceosomal RNA